rnacentral:rRNA from 1 species
AUUCCAGCUCCAAUAGUGUAUAUUAAAGUUGUUGCAGUUAAAAAGCUCGUAGUUGGAUUUCUGGCGGGAGCGAUCGGUCCUUCACUCAGUGUUGGAACCUGAUUGUCUCCUGCCAUCCAUGGAGAAAACUUAUCUGGCAUUAAGUUGUCGGGUAGGCAAUCUCCAUCUUUUACUGUGAAAAAAUUAGAGUGUUCAAAGCAGGCUUAUGCCGUUGAAUAUAUUAGCAUGGAAUAAUAAUCUAGGACUUCGGUUCUAUUUUGUUGGUUUCUAGUACUGAAGUAAUGAUUGAUAGGGAUAGUUGGGGGUGCUAGUAUUGGCCGGCCAGAGGUGAAAUUCUUGGAUUCGGUCAAGUCUAACUUAUGCGAAAGCAUUCACCAAGGAUGUCUUCAUUG